rnacentral:rRNA from 1 species
AUUGAACGCUGGCGGCAGGCUUAACACAUGCAAGUCGAACGAGUGGCGGACGGGUGAGUAAUGUCUGGGAAACUGCCCGAUGGAGGGGGAUAACUACUGGAAACGGUAGCUAAUACCGCAUACCAUCGGUUCUGCCCAGAUGGGAGUAGCUAGUAGGUGGGGUAACGGCUCACCUAGGCGAAGAUCCCUAGCUGGUCUGAGAGGAUGACCAGCCACACUGGAACGGAGACACGGUCCAGACUCCUACGGGAGGCAGCAGUGGGGAAUAUGGCACAAUGGGCGCAAGCCUGAUGCAGCCAUGCCGCGUGUAUGAAGAAGGCCUUCGGGUUGUAAAGUACUUUCAGCGGGGAGGCGUUACUCGCAGAAGAAGCACCGGCUAACUCCGUGCCAGCCGCCGCGGUAAUAC